rnacentral:rRNA from 1 species
UACGUAGGGUGCAAGCGUUAAUCGGAAUUACUGGGCGUAAAGCGUGCGCAGGCGGUUAUGCAAGACAGAUGUGAAAUCCCCGGGCUUAACCUGGGAACUGCAUUUGUGACUGCAAGGCUAGAGUGCGGCAGAGGGGGAUGGAAUUCCGCGUGUAGCAGUGAAAUGCGUAGAUAUGCGGAGGAACACCGAUGGCGAAGGCAAUCCCCUGGGCCUGCACUGACGCUCAUGCACGAAAGCGUGGGGAGCAAACAGG